rnacentral:rRNA from 1 species
UACGGGGGGGGGCAAGCGUUGUUCGGAAUUACUGGGCGUAAAGGGCUCGUAGGCGGCCAACUAAGUCCGACGUGAAAUCCCCAGGCUUAACCUGGGAACUGCGUCGGAUACUGGAUGGCUUGAAUCCGGGAGAGGGAUGCAGAAUUCCAGGUGUAGCGGUGAAAUGCGUAGAUAUCUGGAGGAACACCGGUGGCGAAGGCGGCAUCCUGGACCGGCAUUGACGCUGAGGCGCGAAAGC